UAACACCCGAAGUCGGUGGGGUAACCGUAAGGAGCCAGCCGCCUAAGGUGGGACAGAUGAUUGGGGUGAAGUCGUAACAAGGUAGCCGUAUCGGAAGGUGCGGCUGGAUCACCUCCUUU
rnacentral:rRNA from 1 species